rnacentral:rRNA from 1 species
GACGAACGCUGGCGGCGUGCUUAACACAUGCAAGUCGAGCGGAAAGGCCCUUCGGGGUACUCGAGCGGCGAACGGGUGAGUAACACGUGAGUAACCUGCCCCAGACUUUGGGAUAACCCUCGGAAACGGGGGCUAAUACCGGAUACGACACAGCUUCGCAUGGGGUCUGUGUGGAAAGUUUUUCGGUUUGGGAUGGGCUCGCGGCCUAUCAGCUUGUUGGUGGGGUGAUGGCCUACCAAGGCGACGACGGGUAGCCGGCCUGAGAGGGCGACCGGCCACACUGGGACUGAGACACGGCCCAGACUGCUACGGGAGGCAGCAGUGGGGAAUAUUGCACAAUGGGCGGAAGCCUGAUGCAGCGACGCCGCGUGAGGGAUGACGGCCUUCGGGUUGUAAACCUCUUUCAGCAGGGACGAAGCGUAAGUGACGGUACCUGCAGAAGAAGCGCCGGCCAACUACGUG